AGCUGGGUGGCUUAGUGGAUAGAGUGCUUGACUUGGAGUCAAGAAAAUCAAAAGCUUAUUUUUUUUUCUUGUUU
rnacentral:tRNA from 1 species